rnacentral:rRNA from 1 species
UACGAAGGGGGCUAGCGUUGUUCGGAAUCACUGGGCGUAAAGGGCGCGUAGGCGGCUUUAUAAGUCGGGGGUGAAAGCCUGUGGCUCAACCACAGAAUUGCCUUCGAUACUGUAGAGCUUGAGACCGGAAGAGGUAAGUGGAACUGCGAGUGUAGAGGUGAAAAUUCGUAGAUAUUCGCAAGAACACCAGUGGCGAAGGCGGCUCACUGGCCCGAUACUGACGCUGAGGCACGAAAGCGUGGGGAGCAAACAGG